rnacentral:rRNA from 1 species
GAUGAACGCUGGCGGCGUGCCUAAUACAUGCAAGUCGAGCGAACAGACGAGGAGCUUGCUCCUUCGACGUUAGCGGCGGACGGGUGAGUAACACGUAGGUAACCUACCUAUAAGAUUGGGAUAACUUCGGGAAACCGGAGCUAAUACCGGGUAAUAUUUCGAACCGCAUGGUUCGAUAGUGAAAGAUGGCUUUGCUAUCACUUAUAGAUGGACCUGCGCCGUAUUAGCUAGUUGGUAAGGUAACGGCUUACCAAGGCAACGAUACGUAGCCGACCUGAGAGGGUGAUCGGCCACACUGGAACUGAGACACGGUCCAGACUCUUACGGGAGGCAGCAGUAGGGAAUCUUCCGCAAUGGGCGAAAGCCUGACGGAGCAACGCCGCGUGAGUGAUGAAGGUCUUCGGAUCGUAAAACUCUGUUAUUAGGGAAGAACAAACGUGUAAGUAACUGUGCACGUCUUGACGGUACCUAAUCAGAAAGCCACGGCUAACUACGUG